UACGGAGGGUGCGAGCGUUGUCCGGAAUCACUGGGCGUAAAGGGCGCGUAGGCGGCCUGAUAAGUAGGGGGUGAAAUCCUGCGGCUUAACCGCAGGGCUGCCUUCUAAACUGUCAGGCUAGAGCACAGUAGGGGCAGGUGGAAUUCCCGGUGUAGCGGUGGAAUGCGUAGAGAUCGGGAAGAACACCCGUGGCGAAGGCGGCUCUCUGGGACGGUACUGACGCUGAGACGCGAAAGCGUGGGGAGCGAACAGG
rnacentral:rRNA from 1 species